ACAAAGGACACUACAGUUCAAUGGAUUGUGCUGGAGUGAUCCUGUAUUGUGCAGAGAACGCCACUCAGGUUGCGUUGGAUGGCAUUCAGUGUUUGGGUGGGAAUGGCUACAUCAACGACUACCCCAUGGGACGAUAUUUGCGUGACGCAAAGCUGUACGAAAUCGGCGCCGGCACAAGUGAAAUUCGCCGGCUUAUCAUUGGACGAGCCUUCAACUCCAUGUUUAAAUAAUCAGAACUGAGAAAUGGAAAUCGCUAAAGACUGUACGAGUGGUUUGCUGUGGAUGAACACAGUUACUGACACCGAAGGCCUUAUACUGUAUGAACUGCUGCUGCCAGAUGUCAAAUCAUCAUGCAUCAGAAUCAUUGUCAACUGUGAUUUUAAUUCAUAUAUAUAUAUAUAUAUAUAUAUAU